GUGUAGGCUGGUUUUCCAGGCAAAUCCGGAAAAUCAAGGCUGAGGCGUGAUGACGAGGCACUACGGUGCUGAAGCAACAAAUGCCCUGCUUCCAGGAAAAGCCUCUAAGCAUCAGGUAACAUCAAAUCGUACCCCAAACCGACACAGGUGGUCAGGUAGAGAAUACCAAGGCGCUUGAGAGAACUCGGGUGAAGGAACUAGGCAAAAUGGUGCCGUAACUUCGGGAGAAGGCACGCUGAUAUGUAGGUGAAGUCCCUCGCGGAUGGAGCUGAAAUCAGUCGAAGAUACCAGCUGGCUGCAACUGUUUAUUAAAAACACAGCACUGUGCAAACACGAAAGUGGACGUAUACGGUGUGACGCCUGCCCGGUGC
rnacentral:rRNA from 1 species